UACGAAGGGGGCUAGCGUUGUUCGGAAUUACUGGGCGUAAAGCGCGCGUAGGCGGUGAUCUUUAUCAGAGGUGAAAGCCCGGGGCUCAACCCCGGGAGGCGGAUGGAUACUGUCAGGCUCGAGUCCGGAAGAGGCAAGUGGAAUUCCCGGUGUAGCGGUGAAAUGCGCAGAUAUCGGGAGGAACACCAAUGGCGAAGGCAGCUUGCUGGGACGGUACUGACGCUGAGACGCGAAAGCGUGGGGAGCAAACAGG
rnacentral:rRNA from 1 species